rnacentral:rRNA from 1 species
CAGCCGCCACGGGAAUGCGAAGGGGGCUAGCGUUGCUCGGAAUUACUGGGCGUAAAGGGAGCGUAGGCGGAUGAAUUAGUCAGGGGUGAAAUUCCGGGGCUCAACCUCGGAACUGCCUUUGAUACUGUUCAUCUUGAGUAUGGGAGAGGUGUGUGGAACUCCGAGUGUAGAGGUGAAAUUCGUAGAUAUUCGGAAGAACACCAGUGGCGAAGGCGACACACUGGCCCAUUACUGACGCUGAGGCUCGAAAGCGUGGGGAGCAAACAGGAUUAGAUACCCCCGUAGUCCCUGUCUCUUAUAC